rnacentral:rRNA from 1 species
CAAAUGACUCUCGGCAACGGAUAUCUCGGCUCACGCAUCGAUGAAGAACGUAGCAAAAUGCGAUACUUGGUGUGAAUUGCAGAAUCCCGUGAACCAUCGAGUUUUUGAACGCAAGUUGCGCCCGAAACCAUUUGGUCGAGGGCACGUCUGCCUGGGCGUCACGC